GGGCUCCUAUAUUUUAUUAAAUCAAUAAUGAAACCUUUUCUUCUAGUAGAGGAAACAGCCUAAUUAGCUUAGCAUCUGGUUGUCUGGUCCAAACAAUAGGAGUUUCCUAAUUUGGGGAAACAAAGGUACUGCUCUGGGAAAGGUUCGGUCACACCUAAACUCUAAUUAACAUUAUCAAAGGAUGAGGGACACUGGAGCCAGCACUGAAUGGAUCCCUGGUGAUAUGCAUAAUCAGUUAGCCAGGAAAGAGACGUUGCGGAGACGCAAACAUGACAACAUGAAAUAUCCAAAAUGGAGGACGGGUAACUUCCUGUAACUGACUGGUAUGUGCUAGCAUCAUUCAAAUGGACCAAUCAGGAGAGACUUCUAGAAAGUUCUAGACUCCACCCCUCUCUCCUGUAUAUAGGUUGGUUUAAGUGGGGCAUAGGUAGACUCAGGGCCAGGAGAGGAGUGACCACCUUACCAAAUCAGAGGGAAUGCUGACAUCAUGGACCAGGCACUUAUCAAACCUAAGGAGAGGUAUACUUAGGCUGUAUAAUCUUCUAGAGUAGAGGUUUCAUAGAGUGUGUUUAUAUGGUGUGGUGUGGGAUAUUAUUAUUUAGGUGGUUGGGUCCCUGUGUUUCAUUUGAAUGUGUUUAGUUAAGUUAGUAUUGCGUAUAUUUGUAGUGUAUUGUUU